CCUACGGUGUGCUGCAGUGGGGGAUAUUGCACAAUGGGGGAAACCCUGAUGCAGCGAUGCCGCGUGAAUGAAGACGGCCUUCGGGUUGUAAAGUUCUGUCGCAGGGGACGAAAAUGACGGUACCCUGCAAGAAAGCUCCGGCUAAAUACGUGCCAGCAGCCGCGGUAAUACGUAUGGUGCAAGCGUUAUCCGGAUUUACUGGGUGUAAAGGGAGCGCAGGCGGCGCGUUAAGCCUGGUGUGAAAGCCCGCGGCCCAACCGCGGGACUGCAUUGGGAACUGGCGCGCUGGAGUGCCGGAGGGGUAGGCGGAAUUCCUAGUGUAGCGGUGAAAUGCGUAGAUAUUAGGAGGAACACCAGUGGCGAAGGCGGCCUACUGGACGGUGACUGACGCUGAGGCUCGAAAGCGUGGGGAGCAAACAGGAUUAGAUACCCUAGUAGUC
rnacentral:rRNA from 1 species